rnacentral:rRNA from 1 species
AUUGAACGCUGGCGGCAUGCCUUACACAUGCAAGUCGAACGGCAGCACGGGAGCAAUCCUGGUGGCGAGUGGCGAACGGGUGAGUAAUACAUCGGAACGUGCCCAAUCGUGGGGGAUAACGCAGCGAAAGCUGUGCUAAUACCGCAUACGAUCUACGGAUGAAAGCAGGGGACCGCAAGGCCUUGCGCGAAUGGAGCGGCCGAUGGCGGAUUAGGUAGUUGGUGGGGUAAAGGCUCACCAAGCCAACGAUCUGUAGCUGGUCUGAGAGGACGACCGGCCACACUGGGACUGAGACACGGCCCAGACUCCUACGGGAGGCAGCAGUGGGGAAUUUUGGGCAAUGGGCGCAAGCCUGAUCCAGCCAUGCCGCGUGCAGGAUGACGGCCUUCGGGUUGUAAACUGCUUUUGUACGGAACGAAACGGCCUUUUCUAAGAAAGAGGGCUAAUGACGGUACCGUAAGAAUAAGCACCGGCUAACUACGUG